AUACUCAGCUAUGCAUCCACGCGUGGAGCUCUCCAUAUGUCGACUGCAGGCGGCCGCGAAUCACUAGUGAUAGAGUUGAUCUGGCUCAGGAUGAACGCUGGCGGCGUGUUAAGGCAUGCAAGUCGUACGAGCUACCUUUCUUCGGAAAGAAUAGUUAGUGGCAAACGGGAGAGUAACACAUUGGUUACCUACCUUGAAGUCGUGAAUAGCUCAUGGAAACGUGGAGUAAUACACGAUAUGUUCUGGUUUAAAUCAGAAUGAAAGCUUCGGCGCUUCAAGAGGGGCCUAUGUCCUAUCAGCUUGUUGGUGAGGUAAAAGCUCACCAAGGCUAUGACGGGUACCGGGCGUGAGAGCGUGACCCGGCUCACUGGGACUGAGACACUGCCCAGACACCUAAGGGUGGCUGCAGUCAAGAAUCUUCCGCAAUGGACGAAAGUCUGACGGAGCGACGCCGCGUGCAGGAUGAAGGCCUUAGGGUCGUAAACUGCUUUUCUCAAGGACGAACAAAUG
rnacentral:rRNA from 1 species